UCUAAGAGGCAGGUUGAAUAGAAUCACCUGAGAAGCUGUGAUUUAGCUUGUGGUAUGUUUGCGCGUGCAAAACAUUCGGUUGGUUUGCUUUAAUAUUGAUUUGAUUUUGGAAUUGUCGUGAUGGCUGAUAAACGUAAAACAACCACUAAACAACACUUUGAGGUGCUUGUUUCUUUGAUUGAAAGGAACGGGUCCGUAGCGGGGGUUCGGGACAAGGGGUCCAACAAAUUUUGGCAUGAAGUAGCCACAAAUCUGCACGAUUUGGGCCCUCCGACAAAAGACGUAUCUGGUUGGAAAAAGGUUUGGGCUGAUUAUAAAUCAGGCUUGAAGAAGAAGUUGGCUCACAAUAGGAGCGAAUAUCGUGCUACGGGAGGAGGCCCAUGAUCAUUGCGAAACUUCAAUGCGCUCGAACAGAAAGUGAUUGAGGUUUAAGAUUUGCAACGUGCUGUUGACGGUACUCCUAAUGUACCUGCUUUGGGUGCUGUGGAGCCCAUGAUUUCUGCACCAACGCAUAUUGGUAGCUCGUCGCAAUGUGGACAGCAGCAACACAACACUGACUCUGAAGUUGAGACCAUUGCUUGUUCUCAAGUAACAGAGCAUAACGUAGUUGUUGAAGAUUGUGAAACCAUACCUGAGACCAGAACAAAUCGACGAGUUAAAAGGGAAACAAUUGCGGAGCAACAAUUGCUGGUGUAAUAUGCAGGGAAUACGGUCGCAUAUGUAUAUUUUUGAUACAUUAUAUAUUUCGUUUUGUCUCCCAUUAAAAUAGACUUUUCGUUUUUGAAAAAAGACGUUUUGUAUUAAAUAGAUAUUUCGACUCUCUUGGGUCGAAUAAAUUUCUUUUUAUAAAUAUUCUAAAAAUUGUAUGCAUUACUUAUCUUCGUUUUCACAUUUUUGAUGCGCCAUAUGCUUUUCUGCCGGUACUCGUUUACGUUGUCAUCUUGCUGGUUCUCGUGUUCGUUAUCAUCUUGGUGGGACUCUUGUCCGUACGCAUCUACGUUGGAGACUCCUGUCUCUUUGGAUCCCGCCGGUCCACUUUCGUGCACCGUGGUCUCGCCUUCCACUGCAGUAGUCGCUUCAUCUUGCACAAUUCACGAUUCACAAUUUAGAAAUUGUCUAAUGAUUUUCACCUCACUUGCGUUGUUUUUUUUUUUUUUUUGUUUCUUUUUACAGGAAUUUUGUAACUUAUUCACAUUUCGAUUGUUCAGGUUAUUCGUUCGUCACUAUGAUCAUAAUGUUUCGUCACUUUUAAAUCUUAUAUCGUCUUUGUACACAAUUCACAAGGCAUUUCCUCCUUUCACUUUACCUUAUCCCGGGCAUUCUCGGUUAUGAUCGAUAUCUUUGAUUCACAUUUUGUGUACAACACUGAUCACUCUGUUUUUGUUUAUUCAUUGUACUUAGUCCGCUUUACUUGACUGCUUUGCUGAGAUUAAACCCAUCUUGCAGUUUUUGUCUCUGCUUAUUUAUGGCUUUUUUCAUUGCAUGUAUAUGCAUUGCACUUUUUGUAAAAAUUUUCGAUAUUCUGGAUGAUUUCUAAUAAAAUCAAUCACUGGUUUUGCAAUUCACUUCUUGCGGCAGCACUAGUUUUUUCACUUCACUUGUCACUUAAUUCACGAAGAUUGCAGAAUAAACUCACGGUCGCCAUGUAAUAUGCAGGGAAUACGGUCGCCAUGUAACAUGGAGGAAAGCGGUUACCAUGUGAUACGCGGGAUCGGUCGGUCUUUUACGACGGGGCUUUGCGCAUAUUCGAUUUGAAUCGCGCCGUACUUACGUGGUUCAUUUGGGUUUCGACGAGAGCGACGAACAGCAACUUGCUGAGCGAACCAAUUCUUCCCUUUAUCGAUUGUCCAGGCAAUCGUGAAGAUUCUAGAUGAGAAUCUUCCUUACUGGAUUGUUGGAGACAUCGAGGCCUUACCUUUGGUAGGGGGACACUCGAAGCUUAUCGGCGUUGAGUCGGCCAGGUGACUCUAGAUAUUCAGAAGGAACAUCCCAUACUGUUUCGUUGGAGCCUUUGAGGCCUUACCUUGGGUAGGGGGACUCUCAAAGCUCUUGAAAGGAAUUGGACGUCAGAUUUGAGUUGCGUCAAGUCUCAGCCCAGAACCAACUUUCUCGUUGGCUGGGGAAGACAGCUUUAUUUAUACCAGCUUUAUUACUUUAUUCUUACAGUUUAAUAAAGUUCAAUUUACUUAAUUUAGGUUGAGUUUAUGUUAAAUUCAAAAUAACUUUUUCUAUUUGUUUUUUUUUCCUGGUUGGCGACAAAGGCAUAAAGUUUUUGUCGUCAACAAAAGUGUCGAAUUUCGUUUGGAUGGAUGGACUUGUGUUAUUGUUUGUUAGUUCGAAUAAGUCUUGUUUUGUUUGUUCGUUGAACAGCAUUGUCUAAAAAUUUGCUUACAUUAACGUUCCGCAUGGAGACAAGAACUAAAGGUUCUUGGCGCAAACAAUGUGUCGCCUUACGUUGCGCAAUUUUGGUUCGAUAUGGGUUAGGUGGUUUGCUUCAGUUUAAUUGCCGAUUUACCGUUGCUGUGCUUGAUAAAAUGUGUCGCUAUGGAUGAGUUGGUCGCGGUGCGAUCGAUUGCUACGCUCGCAUAAAAUGUGUCGUUAUGACUAUGCCUGUUUUGUUCUAUUUGUUUGCGAUAGUUCGGAGUGGAUAAAGUUUUACGCUUAGUUGCUGACCGUUGUCUGCACCGUGCGAUGUAUGGUGCAUUGGUUGGUUUGGUUUCGUAUUGCAUUGCGCAACUCGCUAGCCGAGUGCGCUAGUCGGUUUUUAAUGUUCUUAUUGCAAUGGAUGUUUGGUCAAAUUUGCUGAAUAUGCUGUUCUUGGUGGGGUACAGGGUGCUUGAGUUUAAAUAAUUGUUGCGUAAGGUUCUGGUGUGAUUGACCAUUUCUACGUACGUGUUUAUAAAAUGUAUGUUUUCAUGAGGUGUUUUUGAGAUGUUUAGCAGUGAUGCUACACUGGAGCUUCGCAAGUACAACCUAACUCAACAAAAUUUGCUUCGUGUUGUAGAGUUGUUCGUUUAUUAAACUGUUCCAGACUUACGUCCUAUCACGAUCACGUUCGCUAACACUCUGCCGGUUUUCCAUUCUCUGCUUGGUAUCCCCGUUACUUAUCUGUAACACACGUUACAUUUGUUACCCAGUUGACAUUACUGCCUUGCGUUACCCAGUUGACAUUAUUUGAAUUAAUCGUUAUAGUCUAGUACUCUACAUCCCUCCCCACAUAACCUCCUUACGACCACAAAGUCUGAUAUAAGUCGGUAGAUUUUAGCUUGUACUGACUAUCCGACUUUGUGGUCUUAAAGGAAAAUUGGUUCCGAGACGUGCUAUUUUAUCUCAUGUCGGCAAAAAAAAAUUAUGGGAGAAAAAUAAAUUGUUGAAAUAUUUCUGAAAUGACUGGAAAUGUUUCACCUUUUAACUGAUUUUUGAAUGAUUUCAUCAGCUUCGAUUUUUUUUUCCCAAUUCGUUCAGUUGCCUUUUUGAUUUAUCGAAGAAUGCUUUGACAAAUUUUGCUUCGUCAAUUGACAAUUGUAGGCGUGCUUUGGUGCAUAUUGCGUGGUGUAGGUUUUGUUGUUUAUAAAAGUGCAUUUUUGACUUAAUUAACUAUGAUCUUGUUUUUCAAUUGGUUGUAGUGAAAUGUCUCACGAAAAUUACGCACGUUACUGGAAAAAGAGUGGCAUUUUGUAUAGAAGGAAAAGGCAAUUAGCAGCACUCAGAGAACAGUGCGAUUCUGUCGGAGUGUCAACCUUUGACCACACUGUUCAUGGGAAGUUUUAGUCCUUCUUCUAUUUGUCCUCUAGGAUGAGAUGAAAUUGUGAUUCAUGUGCUGAUAUUCUCAUUAAUUUUUAGAUGCGGUUGAAUCUGCCAUUGACGAUACAUCUGCCAUCGACGUAGAAGACCAUAUCGCUUCUUCUUCUAGUUCUAGUCGGUGAAAAAUACCAUGAAAUGUAGGUAUUGUUUUUUAUUCUUUCGACGGUGUCUUGCCCGCGCAACGUGUGUAAGAAGGAGAAAAGGCAUAGCUUGUUGUUUGCUUUUCUGUGUCUGUGUUUGAUUGUUGUGUCAAAAAACUUAUCGAAAGUCAACGAAUAAAAGUCUAAAAAAUUUUGAACGAAUAAUUUUAAUUGUUGAUUUAUUUCAUUUCAAAAGUGGUUGGAUGAAACGUUUCAAACCUCCGCUGAAAAAUUUCGGGACCGUGAAUGAAACAUUUCACAUUUAUGGUUUGUUUGUUAUAAUUAUGGCACGCUUUUUUUUCAUCCACGAAGUCUGUUAAUUACUGCUGUAAGUGUACAUAUAAGUCUACAUAUACGACUCCGUAUAUAGGUCGUAGUAAGGUCGGAUAUCGCUUUUUGGUUAUGUGGGUCACCUAGUCCAACAAAUCUAGACAAAUUUAACAAUAUAACACUUGUUUAACAUACUAAGGAAUAAACAAAACGAAAUCAUUCCCUAAACCUCAAUGGUAUGUUGACGUAUCUCUUUGGUCUCUCUGGGCAGGGGACCCUCGUUUUGGCCUUGCUUUUGUCCUGUCCCAUCUGAUAUUUUUAAGGAUGGAAUAUUAGUUUUACCUUCUUCUUGUAGAGUAUUCCUUGUGCUACUCGUCGUGGGACAUCUUAUUAUGUGAGCUACUGGUCUUCGAUACCUGUUUCCAUUUUCACCGGUUAUAACUACCUCUGUGCCAUUUCUUUCUACGACUGUAAAACGUUCUGCUCGGAAAGUAGGCUCUAAUUUACCCAUUUCAUAAUUUCUUAUGAAUACUUUGUUUCCAACACUUAUCGCAUUAUCCCUGGCAUGGCGUUUUCUAUCAGCGUACAAUUUUCCAUGCAUUUUGCUGAUCAUGUCUUUAUCGCGAACUUCUUCAUCCCGAUUCCAAUAAGGGUCAGUCCUUAAUGAAGGUAGUAGGUCUUUAACUGGUCUGCCCGUGAGAAGCUCCAUUGGAGAUUUUCCCCUAACUGAAUGAGGUGUUGUGUUAUAGCUAUAAACGUAUUCUUGCACCGCUUUCCUCCAAUCGUCUUUCAUUGCUUUGGCAAUCCGUAAAGCCCGCAAGAUACCCCUAUUCUGCCUUUCUACUCACCCAUUCAUCUGUGGCCAGUAUGGAAUAGUAUGUAUGACUCUAAUAUUUUUGCUCUUGCAAUAAC